GGGCGCGUAGCUCAGCGGGAGAGCACAUCCUUCACACGGAUGGGGUCACAGGUUCAAUCCCUGUCGCGCCCACCA
rnacentral:tRNA from 3 species